rnacentral:lncRNA from 1 species
GACACUAAACUUAAAGAAAUAAAAAAUUAUUAUAAAAGUACCUAUGAAAAAUUACAUCUAAAAUUUAGAUACUUUUUAAGAACUGGACAAAUUCUAAGAAAGGUUCAAAUUAGCAAAAAUGAGUCAAGGAGAUAUAUAAAAUCUUAUCAAGUAAAGAGAUUAAGUUAGUAAUCAAAACUACCACCUCAGGAAACAAUGACAACAGCAACAAAAUCUUCUAGCCAAGAAUGCCUCUACCAAACAUUCAAAGUUGAAUUAAUACUGUUCAAAGUAGAGAUGUAGUUGACAUGAAGGGAUGUCUGCCUAGUUCACAAAAGUAUGACCAUGAAAAUAUCAUUUCUAUGAUACUCCCUCGUUAUGGGAGCUUGAUGCUCAGAGAAGAGGGAAUGAGAGAGGUAGCAUUGACUAUUUAAAAUCCGUCCUGAGGUCAGACCCACAAAUGCAUUUUCUGUUAUUUUAUUUCAAUACUGAUAAAACUUAGUUCUUUUUUUCUAUUUCAAUUGAAAUAACACGUGUAAAGAACCACAAAAGUACCCCAUUUCCCCUUGCAAAUGUAUUGUUCGUAGGCCUAGAGGUUUUUUUUUCUUGUCCAAUCAGAACAUGUAAUCCAGGAACUGCAUUUGCAUAACCUCUUAUGCUGAGGUCAUGUCAGGUCAUUUCAGGCUCUUCUGUGUCGAGCGGAGGAGCUACUCUGUGCCCAGCUUAGAGGACUGGAAGAGGCCGCAACCUUCCACCUGCUGGAGGUUGGAAGAUGGAUGGAGGCUGGAGGAUGGAUGGAGCCUGGAGCCUGGAGCCUGGGUCACUACCUCGCUACGGUUGGUGGUGGCGAUAGAGCAGUAGGAGGGCGGCGGGCAGCAGGAGCUUCUGCUGGGCUGGAGAACUAGAAGGAAGAGGCACUGCCACAUGCUGGAGGCUGGAACCUGUGCCAUCAUGGCUCGCCUCGCUGUGAUUGUCAGUGAUGUCGGAGACUGCAGCUCAGCCACAGUGGUAGAAAUGUGAUGGGGUAGGUGAGUUUCCGUGCCUGCCCUGUACGCCUCUGGGGGCAAGGGUUGGGUGUCCUAUUGGGGCUCACUGCUAGAGGCUACCCUGCCUGUGGCAGUGGUCUGGUUGGGGGCACUCUCUGGUGUUGCAUUGCUGGCUGUGGGGCAGGUUGGCUGGCUAUCUGGGGCUAUACUGCCCGUGGUGGCAGGGGUGGUGGGGGGAGGCAGAUUGUGUACACUAGCGUGUAUUGCCGGCGGCUGGUGAAGGAUUAGGGGUGCUAUCUUCUGCUGCACUGCCUGCGGCAGGGGGUGGGUUGGGUGGAGUUAUCUGGGGCUACAAUGCUGGCAGUUGGGGGUGGUUUAGGGGCGUUGUUGGGUGCUGCACUGCCUGUGACUGGGGGGUGCACCAUCAGGAGAUGAACUG